rnacentral:misc_RNA from 1 species
AAAUGCGAUAAGUAAUGUGAAUUGCAGAAUUCAGUGAAUCAUCGAAUCUUUGAACGCACCUUGCGCUCCUUGGUAUUCCUUGGAGCAUGCCUGUUUGAGUAUCAUGAAAUGUUCAAAGUAAAUCUUUUGUUAACUCAAUUGGUUUCUACUUUGGUAUUGGAGGUCUUUGCAGCUUCACACCUGCUCCUCUUUGUUCAUUAGCUGGAUCUCAGUGUUAUGCUUGGUUCCACUCGGCGUGAUAAGUUAUCUAUCGCUGAGGACACUGUAAAAGGUGGCCAAGGUAAAUGCAGAUGAACCGCUUCUAAUAGUCCAUUGACUUGGACAAUACUUUUAUGAUCUGAUCUCAAAUCAGGUAGGACUACCCGCUGAACUUAAGC